rnacentral:misc_RNA from 1 species
AACUUUCAGCAACGGAUCUCUUGGCUCUCGCAUCGAUGAAGAACGCAGCGAAAUCCGAUAAGUAAUGUGAAUUGCAGAAUUCAGUGAAUCAUCGAAUCUUUGAACGCACCUUGCGCUCCUUGGUAUUCUGAGGAGCAUGCCUGUUUGAGUGUCAUUAAUAUAUCAACCUCUACAACUUUUGUGUGUUGAGUUGUUGGAUGUGGGGGCUCUUGCUGGCUUCUUUCUGAGGUCAGCUCCCGUGAAAUAUAUUAGCGGAACAGUCCUCGUUCAUUGGUGUGCUAACUAUCUACGCUAUUGACGUGUAGUAGUUUGGCUUAUAACGGGCCUUUGACUUGGUCAAAUUUUCAUUACUGUGACCUCAAAUCAGGUAGGAAUACCCGCUGAACUUAAGCAUAUCAAUAAGCGGAGGCU